CGCGUAGGCGGUCUCUUAAGUCAGAUGUGAAAGCCCGGGGCUUAACCCCGGAAGUGCAUUUGAAACUAAGGGACUUGAGUAUGGGAGAGGGAAGUGGAAUUCCUGGUGUAGAGGUGAAAUUCGUAGAUAUCAGGAGGAACACCGGUGGCGAAGGCGACAUCCUGGACCAAUACUGACGCUAAGGCGCGAAGGCGUGGGGAGCAAACAGGAUUAGAUACCCUGGUAGUCC
rnacentral:rRNA from 1 species